rnacentral:rRNA from 1 species
ACAGACCUACGGGGGGCAGCAGUGGGGAAUAUUGCACAAUGGGGGGAACCCUGAUGCAGCGACGCCGCGUGGGUGAAGGAGUACUUCGGUACGUAAAGCCCUAUCAGCAGGAAAGAAAAUGACGGUACCUGACUAAGAAGCCCCGGCUAACUACGUGCCAGCAGCCGCGGUAAUACGUAGGGGGCAAGCGUUGUCCGGAUUUACUGGGUGUAAAGGGCGUGCAGCCGGGAAGACAAGUCAGAUGUGAAAUCCCGCGGCUCAACCGCGGAACUGCAUUUGAAACUGUUUUUCUUGAGUACCGGAGG